GAUGAACGCUAGCGGCAGGCCUAACACAUGCAAGUCGAGGGGCAGCGGGGAUAGCUUGCUAUCCGCCGGCGACCGGCGCACGGGUGCGUAACGCGUAUACAAUCUGCCUCAUACUGAGGGAUAGCCCGAAGAAAUUUGGAUUAACACCUCAUGGUAUCAAGAAGCGGCAUCGCUACUUGAUUAAAGGUUACGGUAUGAGAUGAGUAUGCGUCCCAUUAGCUAGUUGGUGAGGUAACGGCUCACCAAGGCUACGAUGGGUAGGGGUCCUGAGAGGGAGAUCCCCCACACUGGUACUGAGACACGGACCAGACUCCUACGGGAGGCAGCAGUGAGGAAUAUUGGACAAUGGGGGCAACCCUGAUCCAGCCAUGCCGCGUGCAGGAAGACGGCCCUAUGGGUUGUAAACUGCUUUUGUACGGGAAGAAGCCCACCUACGUGUAGGUGGUUGACGGUACCGUAAGAAUAAGCA
rnacentral:rRNA from 1 species